GGAUAUUUUUCUCAAAGAAAACAAAAGCACUAAUUCAAAAUGAUAUAUACACCCCUAUGUUCAUUGCUGCAUUGUUCACAAAAAACAAGAUAUGGGAGCAACCUAAGUGCUGCUCAGGUGACAAGAUGGAUAGACUUUAUGUACCCCUUAAACUUACACAGUGCUGUGUGUCAACUAUAUCUCAAUAAAAUUGGAAGAAAAGAUAAAAUUCAGUUACAAAAUUUUAAAAAAUCAGCAAGGAAUUAAACAGCAGACACAAAGAACUCUUACAAAUCAAAGAGAACAGGUGGUGAGUUAGUGACCAGAGGAGCACAAAUAAAACACCAUGAGAUGUGGGUCUACAUCCGUCAGGUGUCUGGUGUGGCGAAGUUGGAUACAACCCAGAGAAAGCCAGGAAGCAGGGAAACAGCACCUCGGGAACAGGAACCAGACACCCACACAGGAAUUAAUCAAUCGGUGUCCCCACUGGGUGCCCGUCCCAGGGUCUGGCCGGCUUCCUUCCAGAUGUGUGGCCAGGGAACGUCAUGGCGGAGUCAGUGAAGGCACCGGGAUUGCGCUCUUCACUGUGGCCUCCUUCGUGGAGCAGGAGGUUGGAAGCUGCCUAGGUGCCCAUCCCAGUGGGGAGAGAGCAUGAAAAUGGGGGGCACACUUUGGAACACCACGUGGGAGUUAAAAACUAGAGCACAGACUAGGUGUGUGUUCAGUCUCGUGGAGAGAUGAUGUUAAGUGAAAACAGAUGGAAGGAGGCACAUGGUACAUUUUCUGUAAAUUAAAACAUCUGCAACAUUAUAUAUUACACAAGGCUGUCCAUGUACUGCAUUUCUUUUAUUAUUGGUGAGAACUGUUCAUAAAUUUUGUUAAAAUGUUUCAUUAAUAAGCAGGUUUUUUUCUGUAGUAAACUCUAGAUUUUCCCAAGAGAUUUCUGGCACUGCUUUCUGCUUUCAUUCUUAGAAUUACCUUCCCAUGGAGAAACCAAUUAGUCACCUAUUUUUCCUUCUAUGCUUUUACUUUUUAAAUCAAUUUAACUGUUUAAUCCAUUUAGAAUUUGUUUUUGUGGUGUUGACAUUCAGGAGAAGAUUUAAUUUGAUUUAUUUACAAAUAGCCAGUUUCUCAGCAUUAUUUGUAAAAUAAUCUGUUUUUCCCCAGUCACCUAUUUUUUUUUUCAUUUUUAUUCUUCCAGGUGAAGUUUAGAAUAAUUUUCCCACACCCAAAAUAAUUUUGUAAACUUUGGGAUUCUUUUAGAGGGAUUAUUGUAACAUUAAGCAUAUAAAUUAUUCGGGUAAAUUAAUCUAUUUACAAUGUUUAGUUUUCUGCUCAGGAAAAUGAGAGGAGUCUGUAUUCAGAUCUUUUUUAUAUCUCUCUGUCUAGAUUUUAUUUUUUUAAUGGAAGUCCCAUACAGUUUUGGGGAUUUGGGCUUAUGAUUAUUUCUAAAUUUUAUUGUAAUUACAACAGUGUAAACAAGAACAUUUUCCUCACUUGUUUAUGGACGGUAUAUAAGUAAACAAGUGAAGUUUACACAUACUGAAGAGCAACACUGUCUGUCUCUCCUGCUACUGAACACACUUCUGACACCAGCCGUGUGGCUCUGCCACACCCAGCAAUGGAACACUGACUGGGUGUCCUGCAGCUUGGCCCAGUUCUGACACCACCUGCCUGGAGUUAGCUCAGACCCCACAAUUUAAGGGCUCAGUCGCAUGAGUCUGCCCCCACUUAAGAAACGAGUUGCAAGUCCCAGGUGGUUCCGACCAGCUGGCUAUACAUGGGGUUCCCACAGCCCCCUUUUUGGGCUCACAUUUGCCGGAACGGCUCUCAGAGCUCAGGAAAGCAAGUCAUGUGCCACUGCGGUUGGUCUGUCAUAAAGGAUGCAGCUCAGGAAAAGCCAGAUGGACGAGAGACACGUGUGAGUCACGUGGGAAGGGGCGGGGCCUCCCGUCCCAGGUGCCCCACCCUCCCAGCGCGGCCCUGUGCUCACCGGCCUGGGAGGCCCCAGGUCCCAGCAACAAGGGCUUUUACGUGAGUGUGACCGAGUCCUCAUCGGCCAUGUCAUUGACCUCAAUGUCCAAACCCUCUUCCUUCCGUGGAGGUCACGGGGUGAAGCUGGAAAUUCCAACCCCCCUAGUCACCCCAGUUUUAGGAGCUCUCUGCCAGAAACUGGGAUCAAAGACCAAAUUCAUUCUUUAUUAAAUCACAACCCUGAGUGAAAAUAACCUCUUGGGAGCCUGGAAAAGUGUAGGGGUUACACAUCAAAUGCUAAGUGAGCUCCACGCAAAGGGUGGGGUCACAGAGGCACACGAUGGAACCUGCGUUUAAGGACCUUGAAUCCAGCCAGGACACAGGAGGGACAGAAGGGCCUCAGUGGCUGCCCCUCUCCCCCUGGGAGCGGUGGCCAGUCACUGCCGGGUCCCCCGUCGCCUGCACAGCGGGGUCCCGUGUGUACCACCAUCCGGGGUCCUCGGUCGGCAGCUCACUAUCUUGACAGCCUGAUUUUAGGGUUUUUGUUUCUCAGAAAAGUUGUGCACUAUUUAGGGACGAGAAGGACUGCUUUAUUUCUAUUGUUUAAAGAAUCUUCAAAGGAUCUUGCCAGAUACUCUAUCAGGCUGAGCCGGAGGCGUCCACACAUCACCACAUACCCGGGUGGCAGAAAGGGCUGAAGAGGAGAGAUUCCAUUUUUCUGCUGUUACGAGGAUUUGCAUGGAGAUUCCCACCACCCGUAAACUGGGAUGACAGUCGCCCCGAACUCUCUGAACUCCACCUUGUUAAGAAUACUUGCAAACAUCUGGGAAAACCCGGGAAUCACUGAAGGCGACAGCAGAUGUAUGGGACUCUGACCUGCAGACGUGGUGACCGCAGUGCAGCGUGAGGAGCUGGCCCUCGGCUGACGGGCUGUGGGCACGCAUGUUAUUACAGCGUGUGUGGGAGUGUCAUGCACUUCAGAGGAAGGCAGUCCGAGCAGGCUGAUGAGGAGUGUGCUGGAGAAACGUCUUAAGCUAAGGCUGUGUGGACCAGCGCAGGCACUGUCUGGAAGCUCUAGGGCUCCGUCAUGGGCUGAACUGUGUCCCCUCCACUUUGCAUGUUGAAGUCCUAACCCCCAGGACCUCUGAACGUGACCGUAUUUUGGAGAUGCCUUUAAAGAGAAUGUGAAGAAACAGAGGCAGAAGAUGCACCACGGCCCGUGCGGAGGAGGUGCGGGCUCGGGGGCUGGAGUUGACCCACGUGGCUAGGGGUCCGGGUGUGGUCAUUCCUGAUGCCUGAUGACUGAGUGGAACCAGACGUCUGAGUCAUCACUUGGCAGUGUGCUUGCACACCCGCAGCUAAAAAACACCCUUCUGAGCCCCUGAUCUUGGCUUAGAGACAGUUAAAAAAUUAAGUGCAACUUAAGUUGUGGCAGAGGAAGGUCAGCCCAUUUUCUGAGACGUUCAGACGCUGCCCUGGGUGACGGGAGAUUUGCACAGCUCCAGAGGGCCUUUCCCAUCCAGUGUGCUGGGCGCACCACCAGGAGAUGGGUAACCCUGUGACCCUGCUCUUCCUCCGGCUGAGACCCGAGGCGUUGUUGAAAUCUGCCAGCCCCGUGAAGAGACACGUGGUCCUAGUCUUCAAGGAGUUCACAGCAUCCAAAAGAGAAACAAGCCCACGUUUAAGACGAGACAGAACGAGAUAAUAAAAUACACGUGUGGAGCUCUUUGCCAUUUAGGGAGCACUUUCAAUCCACGUGUAUAUUUGAUCUUCAUAGCAACUCUAGGCCACCAGCAAAGCAGGAAGCGUUGUCUUCACUUUACACAUGAGGAAUCCAGGACGAGAAGGUUGGUAAUUUGUCCGAGAUGGCUGAGGUAGUAAGGGGCAGAGCUGGGGAAACAAUGCAGGUGUUUGAUUACAGAGAGGCAAACAAGAGAGGAAGAUGGAGAUAAAGUGAAAAGCCCAGGAAAGAGACUGAGGGACUGCGCACGGGAGGGGAGCGGGGGAAGGGCACACACUAAGCUAAAGGACCCUCAGGGACAGAGGUGGGGGGGGCCAGAAAGUGGUCACAGACGGACGGAGACGGAGUGCCAACUGUCGGAAGGGCUGGAGCGCGUUUAAUUCACGCUUAGUUCCAGGCCGUCGUCUGGGACCCGUUUGUUCUUACCUCCGGGCCGUUACUUGUGCUCUGGGCGUAACGUGAUCUUGAAGGUUGGAACACUGUCUAAACCUCUCUUUCUGGAGCCUGACCUGACUCCUGGCACUUCAAAGCUCGCUGGGAAUGUUUAUUGUGGAAACCACUGAAACUCUUCGGUCGGAGAAUGACUGGGCGGCCAGUCGGAGGCUGGGCUGGGGAAGAGGGACCAGGGCCUGAACCAGGGGCGGGGCCGUAGGAGAGGGGACGCCUGUCACCCUUGACGUGAACUGGGCUGUGCUCUGUUUGCUCACGGAGGCAUCGUGCUUUUUGCCCAGAAAGCUUUCAUCAAUUGAUGAAAACGCGAUGAAGCCAAACUGUUUUGCAGACCCUGAGCCAGAGCUGUCUCUUCUUCCAGCCGCCUGGCAAAGGAAAGGAAGGGAGGCAGGAAGGAAAGAGGCAGAAAUUCUUAAGGCCGUGACCUCCCUUAAGGGUCCUUGCCCUGGUGACUGUAAACACGGUUGAGCCCAGCUGAAGGGGAAGUUUUGUGUCCCAAGUCCCUUUCCCCGUCCUCCUGCUUGGGGCACUGAAUUCUGGGCUAUUUCCACUCCGCCCUUCAGAGAACCAGAAACUUAAAUACCCUCCCCCCAGCGAGGCCCAGCGGCCCAGCGGCCCCCCGGCUGGACGCGGCCCUCCCUGCCGGACACACCCAAGCGCGUGCCCCCACUCCAUCCUCCCAGCGUCUGUUCAACGGCCGGUUCCUUUCCACUCCUGCCCACUCCCAGGUCUGCUCUCUGAGGGCAGGACCAGGUCUGCCUUGUCAACCACGGGAGGAGCUUGGCACAAAGGUUUUAUCAAUGCCUGCAGACUCCCGUCUCCCCUAGGCCAGCCUUUAUUUACAGUCUGCCUUCUACCUCUUUUGACAGAAGGGAAGUCGCUUUCCAACCCAUAAGCAUAUUUCUGGUAACCAGGCCACAGAAUUUCCUGCCACAAAAUGUGGUGGAAGGUCUACUCUCAGUGAGGCGGGUGCAGGGACAGAGGUCUGGGCUGCCGCCGUCACUCUAGCUGGCGGUGCAGGGGGCCUGCCCUGGACAGACGAUUCGGGGGUCGGAAGCGGUGAUGCGGUCCUCUCGCCCGUCCCACACACCACACACAGGAAAUAGCCCUUUUCUGGAGAAGCAGAAAGGGGUUGCUUUAGCUGAUACUGAGCUGAGGCCGAAUCUUGGAACCUUUUUAUUUUCCCCUUUACUAAUAUUUUUAUUUACUUUUUUCUAUGUUUUUAUUGUGAUAAAAUACCUGUGACAUAAAGUUUACCUUUGUAACUGCUCGUAAGUGUACAGUUCAGUGUCACCGAGUCUGUUCACACCGUCUAUCCACAGAACUUUCCAUCUUCCCCAGAGGGAACUCCAUCCUGGUUAAACACUAAC